GCCCGGGUGGCGGAACGGCAGACGCGGCGGACUCAAAAUCCGCUGUUCGCAAGAACAUGUGGGUUCGAUUCCCACCCCGGGCA
rnacentral:tRNA from 1 species